CAGCUCCGCCUUUACAACCAGACUUCCCUGUGGAGCCUGUCCUCGGCUGUUCCUUCCCAGAGCAGCAUUCACAGUUUUGACAGUGACCUGGAAAGCCUGUGCAAUGCUUUGUUGAAAACCACCGUAGAAUCUCACACCAAAUCCUUGCCCAAAGUACCAGCCAAACUGUCCCCCAUGAAACAGGCACAACUGAGAAACUUCUUGGCCAAGAGGAAGACCCCACCAGUGAGAUCCACUGCUCCAGGUAAAGAGAACCAGUAACUGGGCCUGUACAUAGUGAUAGGGUGCGGUAGGGUGUGUGUGUGCGCGCGCGCACAUGCAUGUGUGCACGUGUGAGCUAGGGUGCUGUGUAUGUGUGUGUAAGUGUGUGUGUGUUGGUUCUUAAUAGGGGAUAGAGAAAAUGUCUCCAGAAUCUGUUGUUAAUCUGAAUAGUGGAAUAAGAACCAGCUUAUAUAUACUUGAUGAAGCAGCAAAGUAGUCGUUUUGGCUUUUACACUGUUUUCUGCAGUCCUCAAGUUUUAUGGCACUGAUUCACAAGGGUUUGAGAUAGGCUGAGCUGGAUCCUAGCCUCUGCUUUAGCCAGAGAAGGUUUACUUUUCUGAUUUGUGUUGGGUUUUGAGUAAGUUUGCAUCUGGGAAAAAGGUUUUUA
rnacentral:sRNA from 1 species